rnacentral:rRNA from 1 species
AUUGAACGCUGGCGGCAUGCUUUACACAUGCAAGUCGAACGGCAGCGCGGGCUUCGGCCUGGCGGCGAGUGGCGAACGGGUGAGUAAUGCAUCGGAACGUGCCCAGUAGUGGGGGAUAGCCCGGCGAAAGCCGGAUUAAUACCGCAUACGACCUGAGGGUGAAAGCGGGGGACCGAAAGGCCUCGCGCUAUUUGAGCGGCCGAUGUCGGAUUAGCUAGUUGGUGGGGUAAAGGCUUACCAAGGCGACGAUCCGUAGCUGUCUGAGAGGACGACCAGCCACACUGGGACUGAGACACGGCCCAGACUCCUACGGGAGGCAGCAGUGGGGAAUUUUGGACAAUGGGGGCAACCCUGAUCCAGCCAUGCCGCGUGCGGGAAGAAGGCCUUCGGGUUGUAAACCGCUUUUGUUCGGGAAGAAAUCCUCUGGGCUAAUACCCCGGGGGGAUGACGGUACCGGAAGAAUAAGCACCGGCUAACUACGUG